UGCAGUAGAACGCUGAAGAGAGGAGCUUGCUCUUCUUGGAUGAGUUGCGAACGGGUGAGUAACGCGUAGGUAACCUGCCUUGUAGCGGGGGAUAACUAUUGGAAACGAUAGCUAAUACCGCAUAACAAUGGGUGACUCAUGUCAUUUAUUUGAAAGGGGCAAAUGCUCCACUACAAGAUGGACCUGCGUUGUAUUAGCUAGUAGGUGAGGUAACGGCUCACCUAGGCGACGAUACAUAGCCGACCUGAGAGGGUGAUCGGCCACACUGGGACUGAGACACGGCCCAGACUCCUACGGGAGGCAGCAGUAGGGAAUCUUCGGCAAUGGGGGCAACCCUGACCGAGCAACGCCGCGUGAGUGAAGAAGGUUUUCGGAUCGUAAAGCUCUGUUGUAAGUCAAGAACGAGUGUGAGAGUGGAAAGUUCACACUGUGACGGUAGCUUACCAGAAAGGGACGGCUAACUACGUGCCAGCAGCCGCGGUAAUACGUAGGUCCCGAGCGUUGUCCGGAUUUAUUGGGCGUAAAGCGAGCGCAGGCGGUUUGAUAAGUCUGAAGUUAAAGGCUGUGGCUCAACCAUAGUUCGCUUUGGAAACUGUCAAACUUGAGUGCAGAAGGGGAGAGUGGAAUUCCAUGUGUAGCGGUGAAAUGCGUAGAUAUAUGGAGGAACACCGGUGGCGAAAGCGGCUCUCUGGUCUGUAACUGACGCUGAGGCUCGAAAGCGUGGGGAGCGAACAGGAUUAGAUACCCUGGUAGUCCACGCCGUAAACGAUGAGUGCUAGGUGUUGGAUCCUUUCCGGGAUUCAGUGCCGCAGCUAACGCAUUAAGCACUCCGCCUGGGGAGUACGACCGCAAGGUUGAAACUCAAAGGAAUUGACGGGGGCCCGCACAAGCGGUGGAGCAUGUGGUUUAAUUCGAAGCAACGCGAAGAACCUUACCAGGUCUUGACAUCCCGAUGCUAUUUCUAGAGAUAGAAAGUUACUUCGGUACAUCGGUGACAGGUGGUGCAUGGUUGUCGUCAGCUCGUGUCGUGAGAUGUUGGGUU
rnacentral:rRNA from 1 species